AGCCCCGGGCUUAACCUGGGAACUGCUUGGUAUACUGAUUGGCUUGAGUCGGAUAGGGGUGCCUGGAACAAUAGGUGGAGCGGUGAAAUGCGUAGAUAUCUAUUGGAACGCCUGAGGCGAAAGCGGGGCACUGGGUCCGCACUGACGCUGAGACGCGAAAGCGUAGGGAGCGAACGGGAUUAGAUACCCCGGUAGUCUACGCCGUAAACGAUGCGUACUAGACUUUUACCCCUCUGACGGGGCGGGAGUCGAAAAGAAACCGAUAAGUACGCCGCCUGGGGAGUACGGCCGCAAGGCUAAAACUCAAAGGAAUUGACGGGGCCUCACACAAGCGGUGGAG
rnacentral:rRNA from 1 species